AACGAACGCUGGCGGCAGGCUUAACACAUGCAAGUCGAACGCCCCGCAAGGGGAGUGGCAGACGGGUGAGUAACGCGUGGGAACGUACCUUUCAGUUCGGAAUAACUCAGGGAAACUUGUGCUAAUACCGGAUACGCUCGCAAGAGGAAAGAUUUAUCGCUGAAAGAUCGGCCCGCGUUGGAUUAGCUAGUUGGUGGGGUAAUGGCCUACCAAGGCGACGAUCCAUAGCUGGUCUGAGAGGAUGAUCAGCCACACUGGGACUGAGACACGGCCCAGACUCCUGCGGGAGGCAGCAGUGGGGAAUAUUGGACAAUGGGCGAAAGCCUGAUCCAGCCAUGCCGCGUGAGUGAUGAAGGCCCUAGGGUUGUAAAGCUCUUUCACCGAUGAAGAUAAUGACGGUAGUCGGAGAAGAAGCCCCGGCUAACUUCGUGCCAGCAGCCGCCGUAAGAC
rnacentral:rRNA from 1 species